GAGAGGACUGCGACGCCUUUUUUUUUUAAGGCGAUAGUCAAGCCUUGGAAAUGGGAAAAUCGGCUUCUGCGGCGGAGGGUGUGACUUUGCCGCGCGGGCUUCAUGUGACCCGUUUGCUCGCGCGCGGGCGGACGCGGGCGUCGGUUUCGGGGUCCCCCCGGCAGCCGGCAGGCACGUCCCCCGAGGAACAGCGACCAGGGACUAGGUGAAGUUCAGUGCCAGCCCGGAGGCUCCUUUCUUUCCUCGCCCCACCCCCUCCUCCGCUCCCCGCCCUCCGCCCGCUUCCCAGCUCCCCGAGGUUAAGGUCACGCGGACAGAGCUGGGAUUCGAACCGCGGUCCUCCACACCUCAAAGCCAAGGCUUGGCCCCUAACGAGGAGCGUAGUGACCUCGCCCGUGGUUCCUCCGAGUAAAGCUCCUGGGAUAGGUACCGUUCUCCAAAGACCUUUAAAGAGAACCCUAUUCGAAUGUCUUCAGCAGAACCGAGCAAAAGCUACCACCUGUGGGGUUCAAGGAGAAUGAGCACUGUCUGGGUUUGCCUUGACAUCCAGAGUUCAAGUCCUCAUUACAGGAGCAAGAGGGGGUCCUUAGAAGAAUCAGAAAUGUGACAGCCAUGACUGCUGCCUUGUCCCUGCCCAGAUAGGCUGGCAAACCAGCCACUGGGUCCUCUGACCCUCACUCUGCGUUUCCUCCUGCAGUGCUUCCCACAGUAAAACUCACCAAGUCUUGAUUUGGUUCCAUGCAGUUGCUUGGAUUCUGUUCUCUGACUGCAUCGAGGUCCCCUGGA